CAGUCUGGCCUGCCCCCUGAAAAUUUAAAGGGCCGCGGUAUCUGAACCGUGCUAAGGUAGCAUAAUCAAUAGUCUUUUAAUUGAGGUCUAGUAUGAAUGGUCGGACAGGAGGUAAGCUGUCUUAGUUUGUAUGGGUUGAAUUUUACUUUUAAGUGAAAAGGCUUAGAUUGGACGAUGGGACGAUAAGACCCUAUAAAGCUUUACAUUAUCAGCUAUUGGUUGGUGAAAAUUAAGGUGUUUUGAUCUGAUUGGUUGAUGUGUUUCGUUGGGGCGACGGAAAUAUAAAUCUGUAACUGUUUUCGUGAGAAAAAUAUUUGUUUUUAGAGAAUUUGAUCCUUUUUAGAGAUUAAGAGAAUAAAGUUACUUUAGGGAUAACAGCGUAAUUCCUCCUGAGAGUUCAUAUCCGCGGAGGUAGUUGCGACCUCGAUGUUGAAUUAAGGUGUCGUCAAGGUGUAACAGUUUUGAUGGUGGGUCUGUUCGACCUUUAAAGCCUU
rnacentral:rRNA from 1 species